rnacentral:rRNA from 1 species
ACUCCUACGGGAGGCAGCAGUGGGGAAUAUUGCACAAUGGGCGCAAGCCUGAUGCAGCCAUGCCGCGUGUAUGAAGAAGGCCUUCGGGUUGUAAAGUACUUUCAGCAGUGAGGAAGGCGGGUACGUUAAUAGCGUGCUCGUUUGACGUUAGCUGCAGAAGAAGCACCGGCUAACUCCGUGCCAGCAGCCGCGGUAAUACGGAGGUGCGAGCGUUAAUCGGAAUUACUGGGCGUAAAGCGCAUGCAGGUGGUUUGUUAAGUCAGAUGUGAAAGCCCGGGGCUCAACCUCGGAAUUGCAUUUGAAACUGGCAGACUAGAGUACUGUAGAGGGGGUAGAAUUUCAGGUGUAGCGGUGAAAUGCGUAGAGAUCUGAAGG